rnacentral:rRNA from 1 species
GUGAAGCGGGAAGAGCUCAAAUUUGAAAUCUGGUAGCCUUCGGUUGCCCGAGUUGUAAUCUAGAGAAGUGUUUUCCGCGUUGGCCCAUGUACAAGUCCCUUGGAACAGGGCGUCAUAGAGGGUGAGAAUCCCGUCCUUGACAUGGACCCCCAAUGCUUUGUGAUACACUUUCAACGAGUCGAGUUGUUUGGGAAUGCAGCUCAAAAUGGGUGGUGAAUUCCAUCUAAAGCUAAAUACUGGCGAGAGACCGAUAGCGAACAAGUACCGUGAGGGAAAGAUGAAAAGCACUUUGGAAAGAGAGUUAAACAGUACGUGAAAUUGUUGAAAGGGAAACGAUUGAAGUCAGUCAUGCUCUUUGGAUUAAGCCGUUCUGCGGUGUAUUUCAUUGAGCGGGGUCAACAUCAGUUUUGAUCGCUGGAAAAGGGCAGGAGGAAGGUAGCACUCUCGGGUGAACUUAUAGCCUCUUGUCGUAUACAGUGAUUGGGACUGAGGAACGCAGCAUGCCUUUUGGCCGGGAUUCGUCCACGUACAUGCUUAGGAU